CCACAGGCAGGAAGAGGAAGUGCUUGCGCAGCGGGUGACAAGAAGAGGCCGCCUGGAAAGUGCUAUCCUCUCGGGCAAAAACACGUCAACGCAAACAAGCGCAAACCGUAGGAAAAUGACGCGCUUCUGUGACGCGCGCGAUUAAAAUAAACACGCUGUUGCGACACACUGGAAGACCCGCGCUGGUAUUCGAACGUAGCACGCGCACGCAUUUGUUGGUCACGGACAUUUAGUAACGACCCGAUUUAUUAUUAUUAUAAAACAAUGAAUCAUGAAUAUUUUCCCUAAAUAUUCCAAACUGUAAACUGAAAUGGAGCUUUCCAAAAAAAAAAAAAACGAGCGAUUUAAGUGAAUUACUUGGCUGAAUCUACCCAGAAUGCACUGCGCUCUGUUCCUGCAGGAGAAGGAGCUUCUUCAGCCAGCAGACACAGUGUCUCCACGGGUCUGGCAGACACAACGAUCACUCUGAGGCGUACCCUUCACCGGAGCUGCGUCCUCAUUAUGGCAGCAGGUACAACUGCAGUGUUACCCUACAGCAGUGCAACCAAACGACCCAGAAGUGACAGCUUCUAUCAAGCGCAAGAAAGGAAAUUACAAAAGUACAUCUCAAAAUAGAGAAAGAACG